rnacentral:pre_miRNA from 1 species
AUAAUACUCCCUCCGUCCGGAAUUACUUGUCAUCAAAAUGGAUGUGUCUAGAACUAAAAUACAUCUAGAUACAUCCAUUUCAAUGACAAGUAUUUUCGGACGGAGGUAGUAGUAG